CUGAUUAUCACAAACAAGGAAUCUGUGCCUAGCUGAUGUGGCAGCAGGCACUUUGCAAAACAGCUAGAUUGAUUGCAGGAGUCAUUGUUGGUCCCGUGGACACUCUGGUAAUUGGAGAUGUCUUCUUCUUGGUACAGCAUUACUUCACAGUGAACUUCAGCCAUGAGAACCAGAAAGCCUUGGAGCUGAGGACAGAGGACGCAAAAGAUUGUGACGAAUGGGUGGCAGCCAUUGCACAUGCCAGCUACAGGACCCUGGCCACAGAGCAUGAGGCAUUAAUGCAGAAGUACCUGCACCUGCUGCAGAUCGUGGAGACGGAGAAGACCGUGGCCAAGCAGCUUCGGCAGCAGAUCGAGGAUGGGGAGAUCGAGAUCGAGCGGCUGAAGGCAGAGAUCGCAUCCCUGCUCAAGGACAAUGAGCGCAUCCAGUCCACCCAGACUGUCGCCCCCAACGAUGAAGACAGCGACAUCAAGAAAAUUAAGAAGGUGCAGAGCUUCCUGCGGGGCUGGCUGUGCCGGCGGAAGUGGAAGACCAUCAUCCAGGACUACAUCCGGUCACCCCAUGCUGACAGCAUGCGCAAGAGGAACCAGGUGGUGUUCAGCAUGCUGGAGGCUGAGGCUGAGUACGUGCAGCAGCUGCACAUCCUUGUCAACAAUUUCCUGCGCCCGCUGCGGAUGGCUGCCAGCUCCAAGAAGCCUCCCAUCACGCACGACGACGUCAGCAGCAUCUUCCUGAACAGCGAAACCAUCAUGUUUUUACAUCAGAUCUUUUACCAAGGCCUGAAGGCCCGCAUCUCCAGCUGGCCCACGCUGGUCCUGGCUGACCUAUUUGACAUCCUGCUGCCCAUGCUCAACAUCUACCAAGAGUUCGUCCGCAACCACCAGUACAGCCUGCAGAUCCUGGCCCACUGCAAGCAGAACCGUGACUUCGACAAGCUGCUGAAGCACUACGAGGCCAAGCCUGACUGCGAGGAGAGGACGCUGGAGACCUUCCUCACCUACCCCAUGUUCCAGAUCCCCAGGUACAUCCUGACCCUCCAUGAGCUCCUGGCCCACACGCCUCAUGAGCACGUUGAGCGCAACAGCCUGGACUACGCCAAGUCCAAACUGGAGGAGCUGUCCAGAAUAAUGCACGAUGAAGUAAGUGAGACGGAGAACAUCCGGAAAAACCUGGCCAUCGAGCGCAUGAUCAUCGAAGGCUGUGAGAUCCUCCUGGACACCAGCCAGACUUUUGUGAGACAAGGUUCCCUCAUCCAGGUGCCCAUGUCUGAAAAGGGCAAGAUCACCAGGGGGCGCCUGGGGUCUCUCUCCCUAAAGAAAGAGGGUGAGCGACAGUGCUUCCUGUUUUCUAAGCAUCUGAUUAUCUGUACCAGAGGCUCUGGAGGGAAGCUUCACCUGACCAAGAAUGGAGUCAUAUCCCUCAUUGACUGCACUUUAUUGGAGGAGCCAGAAAGCACGGAGGAGGAAGCCAAAGGAUCUGGCCAAGACAUAGAUCACUUGGAUUUUAAAAUCGGGGUGGAGCCAAAGGAUUCCCCGUCCUUUACGGUCAUCCUAGUGGCCUCAUCCAGACAGGAGAAGGCGGCGUGGACCAGUGACAUCAGCCAGUGUGUGGAUAACAUCCGAUGCAAUGGGCUCAUGAUGAACGCAUUUGAAGAAAAUUCCAAGGUCACUGUGCCACAGAUGAUCAAGUCCGAUGCCUCCUUAUAUUGUGAUGAUGUUGACAUUCGCUUCAGCAAAACCAUGAACUCCUGCAAAGUGCUGCAGAUCCGCUAUGCCAGUGUGGAGCGGCUGCUGGAGAGGCUGACGGACCUGCGCUUCCUGAGCAUCGACUUCCUCAACACCUUCCUGCACUCCUACCGUGUCUUCACCACCGCCAUCGUGGUCCUGGACAAGCUUAUUACCAUCUAUAAGAAGCCUAUCAGUGCCAUCCCUGCCAGGUGGCUGAGGUCGCUGGAGCUCCUGUUUGCCAGUGGCCAGAACAAUAAGCUUCUGUACGGUGAACCCCCCAAGUCGCCGCGCGCCACCCGCAAGUUCUCCUCGCCACCACCUCUGUCCAUCACCAAGACAUCGUCACCGAGCCGCCGGCGGAAGCUCUCCCUGAACAUCCCCAUCAUCACCGGCGGCAAGGCCCUGGACCUGGCCGCCCUCAGCUGCAACUCCAAUGGCUACACCAGCAUGUACUCGGCCAUGUCGCCCUUCAGCAAGGCCACGCUGGACACCAGCAAGCUCUAUGUGUCCAGCAGCUUCACCAACAAGAUUCCAGAUGAGGGUGACAUGACCCCUGAGAAGCCGGAAGACCCUUCGGCGCUCAGCAAGCAGAGCUCAGAAGUCUCCAUGAGAGAGGAGUCAGAUGUUGAUCAAAACCAGAGUGAUGAUGGUGAUACUGAAACAUCACCAACUAAAUCUCCAACAACACCCAAAUCAGUCAAAAGCAAAAAUUCUUCAGAGUUCCCACUCUUUUCCUAUAACAAUGGAGUCGUCAUGACCUCCUGUCGCGAGCUGGACAAUAACCGCAGUGCCUUGUCGGCUGCCUCCGCCUUUGCCAUAGCAACCGCGGGGGCCAACGAGGGCACCCCAAACAAGGAGAAGUACCGGAGGAUGUCCUUAGCCAGUGCAGGGUUUCCCCCAGACCAGAGGAACGGAGACAAGGAGUUUGUGAUCCGCAGAGCAGCCACCAAUCGUGUCUUGAACGUGCUCCGCCACUGGGUGUCCAAGCACUCUCAGGACUUUGAGACCAAUGAUGAGCUCAAAUGCAAGGUGAUCGGCUUCCUGGAAGAAGUCAUGCACGACCCAGAGCUCCUGACCCAGGAGCGGAAGGCUGCAGCCAACAUCAUCAGGACUCUGACCCAGGAGGACCCAGGUGACAACCAGAUCACGCUGGAGGAGAUCACGCAGAUGGCUGAAGGCGUGAAGGCUGAGCCCUUUGAAAACCACUCGGCCCUGGAGAUCGCGGAGCAGCUGACCCUACUAGACCACCUCGUCUUCAAGAAGAUUCCUUAUGAGGAGUUCUUCGGACAAGGAUGGAUGAAACUGGAAAAGAAUGAAAGGACCCCUUAUAUCAUGAAAACCACUAAGCACUUCAAUGACAUCAGUAACUUGAUUGCUUCAGAAAUCAUCCGCAAUGAGGACAUCAACGCCAGGGUGAGCACCAUUGAGAAGUGGGUGGCCGUGGCUGACAUAUGCCGCUGCCUCCACAACUACAAUGCCGUGCUGGAGAUCACCUCGUCCAUGAACCGCAGUGCAAUCUUCCGGCUCAAAAAGACGUGGCUCAAAGUCUCUAAGCAGACUAAAGCUUUGAUUGAUAAGCUCCAAAAGCUUGUGUCAUCUGAGGGCAGAUUUAAGAAUCUCAGAGAAGCUCUGAAAAAAUGUUGCACCCAUCUGUGCUGUCCGGCCGUCUCUCUUCUGCCUGGGCUCCCGAGAGCCCCUGUGGACUGUGCUUGUGGGGAGCUGCCCCCCUCCGUGCAUUCACCAACUUGUCCGUCCGUCCGCCCCCGGGGCACCACUCCAUCCACCUCCUCACAUGGCUGGCUUCCUCGUCUGCCACCGCCACCACCGCUGCCUCCACUGCCUCUGGGGCCCCCCAUUCUGUCUGAGUCCCCAACCUGACCGUCUUCCCUCUUUCAGGUGGCCUACGGGCCCGUGUAAGUGUCUCUCCCACAUUCCCCUGCUCCCUGCAGCACAGGGCAGAGGUGGCCUGCGGGCCUCUAGGAGCUAAGAGCUUUAUGCAAACCGGAUUCUGGACUUACAGAGACAUAGGCAGGGCACGCAGAGGAGGGAGGGACUGGGGAAGCCUAGAGUAAAUGCUUCCCGCACCCCCUCUCCUGAGGCUCUAAGGUUUUCACAAAGAGCGAUGUUGCAUGAAUACUGAGCAUCUGUUUCACUAGGCAGGGGACAGGGGCAAGAGGAGCGAGGUGGCAGUCCAUGGGCAUAGCCAAUGACCUCCCCAGACAAGGAGUCCUGCUAUGGGCCUCACCAUGUUGGUCUGCAGCCCAUUCAUACGUCCCAGGCAUCUUUUUUAGCUUUUCAUUAAAAUAUUCAAUGUCGGGCUAGGCACAGUGGCUCAUGCCUGUAAACCCAGCACUUUAGGAGGCCGAGGUGGGCAGAUCACUAGAGGUCAGGAGCUAGAAACCAACCUGGCCAACCUGGCAAAACGCUGUCUCUACUGAAAAUACAAAAAUUAGCCAGGCAU
rnacentral:sRNA from 1 species